rnacentral:piRNA from 1 species
ACAACAAUAAUGGAGCCGAACAUGAUGCCU